GAACACCAGUGGCGAAGGCGACUUUCUGGACUGUAACUGACGCUGAGGUACGAAAGCGUGGGUAGCGAACAGGAUUAGAUACCCUGGUAGUCCACGCCGUAAACGAUGGAUACUAGGUGUAGGGGGUAUCGACCCCCCCUGUGCCGGAGUUAACGCAAUAAGUAUCCCGCCUGGGGAGUACGGUCGCAAGACUGAAACUCAAAGGAAUUGACGGGGGCCCGCACAAGCAGCGGAGCAUGUGGUUUAAUUCGAAGCAACGCGAAGAACCUUACCAGGGCUUGACAUCCCGAUGACCGGUACAGAGAUGUACCUUCCCUUCGGGGCAUUGGAGACAGGUGGUGCAUGGUUGUCGUCAGCUCGUGUCGUGAGAUGUUGGGUUAAGUCCCGCAACGAGCGCAACCCCUAUCCUUAGUUGCCAUCAGUUAAAGCUGGGCACUCUAAAGAGACUGCCGGGGAUAACUCGGAGGAAGGUGGGGAUGACGUCAAAUCAUCAUGCCCCUUAUGUCCUGGGCUACACACGUGCUACAAUGGCCUGUAACAGAGGGAAGCGAAGUCGUAAGGCGGAGCAAAACUCAGAAACCAGGUCCCAGUUCGGAUUGUGGGCUGCAACUCGCCCACAUGAAGUCG
rnacentral:rRNA from 1 species